rnacentral:rRNA from 1 species
UACGGGGGGGAGCAAGCGUUGUUCGGAUUUACUGGGCGUAAAGGGCGGGUAGGCGGCCACCGCAAGUCAGUUGUGAAAUCUCUGGGCUUAACCCAGAAAGGUCAACUGAUACUGCGGGGCUAGAGUGCAGAAGGGGCAACUGGAAUUCUCGGUGUAGCGGUGAAAUGCGUAGAUAUCGAGAGGAACACCUGCGGCGAAGGCGGGUGCUGGGCUGACACUGACGCUGAACUGCGAAAGCUAGGGGAGCGAACGGG